GCUCGGAAGGCUAUCAUUUUAUUUCGUUUGAAUGGAAGCCUCGGUAAACGGCGGCAGUAACUCUAACUGUCCUAAGGUAGCGAAAUUCAUCGUCGCAUAAGUAGCGACCUGCACGAAU
rnacentral:ncRNA from 1 species